GGGGUUGUGGCUCAAGUGGUAGAGUGCUUGCCUAGCAUGUAUGAGGCACUGGGUUUGAUUCUCAGCACCACA
rnacentral:tRNA from 1 species